UGUCGGUGCUCCCGGGGAAGCACCCAGACGUGACCUCAGCCCAGACAGGGUGACAGUCCCAGGUUUUGGUGUCCUGUAUCCCUGGAGCCGCUCCUGAUUCGGCUAUUUAGCAGAUUGGUGACCAUCGAAAGGACCUCCUGCAGAAUGUCGUGGCGAUGCCGCCUCUUCCAGGGUCUCUCGCCAGCCCCGGGGCUGGCUCUUGAGCAAUGACCGGUGCCGAUAGGGGAGGAGGAAGGAAGGUGUAGCCAUGGAAGUGCGGCGCUGGCGUUGUUGGGAGCGUUCUCGUUUCUUCCUCUCAUGGGUCUCCUAAUGGGUUGAAAUGGACCAUGAAAUGCUGCGUGCGAUUGGAGUGGUGAAGUAGUUCCGUUGUGGCUGCGUUGGUCAGAGCACAUUAGGAUGCACGUCUUGCAAUGAGAUGUAAUUUCAUUUGUGAGACGGAGAUAGUUGGAGAAAGCAGAUGAGCUUUUGGGCGCUGCGCCCUUCACGUCACUCUGCCUGCGGUAAUCCAAGCACUGGGACCUCCUGCCAGAAGCAUGUUCCUUCAUGCACGGAGCCAACCAGGGACUCCAGAGAUGCCCUCCAGCAGCCGGGCGAAAGGGGAGUGUGUGGGAGGAGGGAAAUCCAGCCACUGAAUUUCAACUAGUUCCCAUCGAUAGGAUGAGUGGCACCGGGGUCACCACCACCACGAUUCAUCCCGCAAGCUCCUCUGCCGCUAUAAACUCCAAACCUCAAGUUUGGAGGUUUGGAGUUUGCACUCACCUGGGUCCCUGCAAUCUCACAGAUCUUUAAUGCCAAAAGUACGGUAUGUAGCUCCACAUCUUCUGCCACCCUCGUUACAGCCUGUGCGUGGUCCACCACCGAGGUCUCCAUUGGACACAGAGACAGUUCUUGUUCCAGCAAAGCUGUUCAGAUUUCUCAC